rnacentral:rRNA from 1 species
AGUGAACGCUGGCGGUAGGCCUAACACAUGCAAGUCGAACGGCAGCACAGUAAGAGCUUUCUCUUACGGGUGGCGAGUGGCGGACGGGUGAGGAAUACAUCGGAAUCUACUUUUUCGUGGGGGGUGAGGUAGGUAAACUUACGCUAAUACCGCAUACCACCUACUUGUGAAAGCCGGGGAUCUUCGGACCUUGCGCGAUUGAAUGAGCCAGUGUCGGAUUAGCUAGUUGGCGGGGUAACGGCCCACCUAGGCGACGAUCCGUAGCCGACCUGAGAGGGUGAUCGGCCACACUGGGGCUGAGACACGGCCCAGACUCCUACGGGAGGCAGCAGUAGGGAAUCUUCGGCAAUGGACGAGAGUCUGACCGAGCAACGCCGCGUGAGUGAAGAAGGUUUUCGGAUCGUAAAGCUCUGUUGUAAGAGAAGAACGGGUGUGAGAGUGGAAAGUUCACACUGUGACGGUAUCUUACCAGAAAGGGACGGCUAACUACGUG